UACGUAGGGGGCGAGCGUUGUCCGGAGUUACUGGGCGUAAAGCGCUUGUAGGCGGUCCACCAAGUUUGGGGUGACAGUUGCCGACUUAAUCGGCAAAGUGCCUCAAAGACUGGCGGACUUGAGGGCCACAGAGGGACAUGGAACUCCAGGUGUAGUGGUGAAAUGCGUAGAUAUCUGGAAGAACACCAAAGGCGAAGGCAGUGUCCUGGGUGGUCGCUGACGCUGAGAGGCGAAAGCCAGGGGAGCGAACGUG
rnacentral:rRNA from 1 species